GCCGGCGCCGCCCCCGCUCCGACCGCCGGCCGCCGCCAGGCCGCCUACUAGCGCCGCUGACCCUGGGCCGCUUCCUCUCGACGCGCGGUGUCAAAUCCGCGGUGGAGCGGGAGCGCAGAGGAGAGCGCGCGGAGGUGGAGCAGGCGGGGCCGCGGCACGCAGACCGCAGACAGCAGAGCAGGCGGCAGCGGCGUCGCUUUCGCGGCAGCACGAGUCGCUGUCCGGGCGCGUCGCGGGGGAGGACUGGAGCGACAACUGGAGAGAGGGGGUGAAGGUGAGUGGGGUGCCUGUGCGCCCUGCUUCCUCCCGGCGCGCCGACGACUUCGUGGUGGACAACUGCAAGAACAUCUACUUCGCGGGGCACGAGACGAGCGCGGUCACCGCGACGUGGUGCCUCAUGCUCCUCGCCGCGCACCCGUAGUGGCAGCAUUACCACCAUGCACACAAGGUGCUCGAGAAAAUUUCCAGCAAGGCUGUCAGUCAACACAUCACCAUUGUGCUUGGGAACAAGUGAAGAAAAAGCUGGCAUCUUGGGCAAGGUUGAUUCAGGAGAUUGGCAGAGAACAGAAGCUGAAGAGCAAGCCUCAGAUGGAAUAUUAGAUGUAGCUUUUACUGUAAAACAAUGAGGGAAACACAUGUGUUCUUUGUCUUGAAUGUAAAAUACCCAUCUCUUGUACCUUCAAUUAUUUUUAGUGUUGCUUCAGUCAGCUAAGCUCUUCUAUCUAUCUGAUUAGAGCAAUGAUGUUUGCACGCAUACAUCAGAAUCAUCUAGAGAGCAUGAGAUCAUUUCUGGCAUUCUGAGAAUUGUUCCAUCAGAUACCAAUGUAGGCAGUAGAUCUUGUACAUUGGCAGUGUGAUUGUAGUUGUUACCCUGCUCCAUUGUCAGUUGAUAUAGGAUCAGCAUGUGUGGUAGGUCUCAGCUUAAAUCAUAUUGGCCUUUACCUUUGAACA